rnacentral:lncRNA from 1 species
ACUGUAGCUCUUAUAUUUAAUGGGUCAUUCCAUGCGAAGUGUCUCAGACGUGGCGUUCGCACAUCGCAGAUUCUGCUGAUAAAAUUUGUGCCUUUUUCUGUACCAC